GCCUUCGCUGCUGUUGGGGCUGGAAGUUCCCGCCAGGUCAGUGCCGGGCGAGAGAGAUGCUGCCCGGCCCGCCUCGGCUUUGAGGCGAGAGUCGUGUCCCAGACCCCUUUCGCCUUGCUGACGGCGUCGAGCCCCGGCCAGACAUGUCCACAGGGUUCUCCUUCGGGUCCGGGACUCUGGGCUCCACCACCGUGGCCGCCGGUGGGACCGGCACGGGCGGCGGUUUCUCCUUCGGAACGGGAGCGUCUAGCAACCCUUCUGUGGGGCUCAAUUUUGGAAAUCUUGGAAGUACGUCAGCUCCAGCAACUACAUCUGCUCCUUCAAGUGGUUUUGGAACCGGGCUCUUUGGAUCUAAACCUGCCACUGGGUUCACUCUAGGAGGAACAAAUACAGGAAUAGCAACAACUAUAACUACAGGAUUAACUCUGGGAACGCCAGCCACUACAUCUGCAGCUACGACAGGCUUCAGUUUAGGAUUCAAUAAACCUGCAGCAUCUGCCACACCAUUUGCUCUACCUAUUACCUCUACCUCAGCUAGCGGUCUGACUCUUUCGUCUGCUCUGACAUCAACUCCAGCAGCAUCCACAGGAUUUACUCUAAAUAAUUUGGGUGGGACAACAGCCACAACUACAACUGCAUCAACAGGCCUCUCUUUAGGGGGAGCCUUAGCUGGUUUGGGAGGUUCACUUUUCCAGAGUACAAACACAGGAACAUCAGGACUUGGACAGAAUGCUUUAGGGUUGACUUUGGGAACUACAGCAGCUACUUCAACUGCAGGCAAUGAAGGCCUUGGUGGUAUAGAUUUCAGUAGCUCCUCAGAUAAAAAGAGUGAUAAAACGGGAACAAGACCAGAGAAAUUUGUGAAGGAGCAGAAACAAGUUCAAGAAGAAAUUAGUAGAAUGUCUUCAAAAGCAAUGCUUAAGGUACAAGAAGAUAUUAAAGCUCUGAAGCAGCUCCUGUCGUUGGCUGCCAAUGGAAUACAGAGAAACACUCUCAACAUUGACAAAUUGAAAAUAGAAACUGCUCAGGAGUUAAAGAAUGCUGAAAUAGCUUUAAGAACCCAGAAGACACCACCUGGACUUCAACAUGAAUAUGCAGCUCCUGCUGACUACUUCAGAAUCUUGGUUCAGCAAUUUGAGGUACAGCUUCAGCAGUACAGGCAGCAGAUUGAAGAACUAGAAAACCAUCUUGCCACUCAAGCAAAUAAUUCACAUAUAACCCCUCAAGAUUUGUCAAUGGCUAUGCAGAAAAUUUAUCAAACAUUUGUAGCUUUAGCGGCACAACUUCAGUCUAUUCAUGAAAACGUAAAGGUUCUGAAAGAACAGUACCUUGGCUACAGGAAAAUGUUCUUGGGAGAUGCUGUUGAUGUGUUUGAAACAAGGCGAGCAGAAGCCAAGAAGUGGCAGAACACACCCAGAGUUACUACUGGACCCACCCCUUUCAGCACCAUGCCAAACGCAGCAGCCGUUGCCAUGGCUGCAACACUUACACAGCAGCAACAGCCUGCUACAGGGCCACAGCCAUCUCUGGGAGUUAGUUUUGGAACGCCAUUCGGCUCAGGUAUUGGCACUGGCUUGCAAUCAAGUGGCUUAGGUUCUUCAAACCUUGGAGGAUUUGGAACUAGCUCUGGUUUUGGAUGCAGCACCACAGGGGCCUCCACAUUUGGAUUUGGAACAACAAAUAAACCCUCAGGAAGUCUUAGUGCAGGUUUGUGUGUUUCUGCCUGGAUUUCAGGCAAAUUUAAAGGUGUAAAUUAUUUAAUUUAAAAGUAUGUGUUGUUAUUUCCAAUAACCCAAAAAGUUCCCUCCCUGAUUCAGUUUUUACUCCCUGGAUGAAGUGUGCAAGCCUAACUAA
rnacentral:sRNA from 1 species